rnacentral:rRNA from 1 species
AGAUUAAGUUAUUAAGGGCGCACGGUGGAUGCCUUGGCACUAGAAGCCGAUGAAGGACGUUACUAACGACGAUAUGCUUUGGGGAGCUGUAAGUAAGCUUUGAUCCAGAGAUUUCCGAAUGGGGAAACCCAGCAUGAGUUAUGUCAUGUUAUCGAUAUGUGAAUACAUAGCAUAUCAGAAGGCACACCCGGAGAACUGAAACAUCUUAGUACCCGGAGGAAGAGAAAGAAAAUUCGAUUCCCUUAGUAGCGGCGAGCGAAACGGGAAGAGCCCAAACCAACAAGCUUGCUUGUUGGGGUUGUAGGACACUCUAUACGGAGUUACAAAGGACGACAUUAGACGAAUCAUCUGGAAAGAUGAAUCAAAGAAGGUAAUAAUCCUGUAGUCGAAAAUGUUGUCUCUCUUGAGUGGAUCCUGAGUACGACGGAGCACGUGAAAUUCCGUUGGAAUCUGGGAGGACCAUCUCCUAAGGCUAAAUACUCUCUAGUGACCGAUAGUGAACCAGUACCGUGAGGGAAAGGUGAAAAGCACCCCGGAAGGGGAGUGAAAUAGAACCUGAAACCGUGUGCUUACAAGUAGUCAGAGCC